rfam:Rhodnius prolixus Rhodnius_prolixus-3.0.3-1730.2, whole genome shotgun sequence.
AUACUAACCUUGCAUCUGGGUUAACCAUGAUCAGGAAGGUGGUUCCCUCGGAGUGAGACUUGAUAGUUGAUCUCUGUGAAUAUCCCAAGUCGGGACGUUCAGGUGCAAAAUUUUUGUUUCCGGGAUUGCGUUCGCGCUCUCCCCGU